rnacentral:rRNA from 1 species
GUGAGGAAUAUUGCGCAAUGGAGGCAACUCUGACGCAGCCAUGCCGCGUGCAGGAAGAAGGCGCUACGCGUUGUAAACUGCUUUUAACCGGGAAGAAACCCCAGGACGUGUCCUGGGUUGACGGUACCGGAGGAAUAAGCACCGGCUAACUUCGUGCCAGCAGCCGCGGUAAUACGAAGGGUGCAAGCGUUAUCCGGAUUCAUUGGGUUUAAAGGGUGCGUAGGCGGAGCGUUAAGUCAGUGGUGAAAUCCUGCAGCUUAACUGUAGACUUGCCAUUGAUACUGGCGCUCUUGAGUGCGCUUGAAGUGGGCGGAAUGUGCCGUGUAGCGGUGAAAUGCUUAGAUAUGGCACAGAACACCAAUUGCGAAGGCAGCUCACAAAGCCAAUAUUGACGCUGAGGCACGAAAGUGUGGGGAUCAAACAGGAUUAGAUACCCUAGUAGUCC